ensembl:snoRNA
UGGACUAAUGAUGGCAGCUGAUUGUAUAUGAGUCAUGGAUGCUGAUAACAUGAGUGUGGAACUCUGAGGGCCAA